CCGCCGACGCUGCGUACGCGUGUAAGAUGUUGACGCCGAAAACGGCGGCCGACCUGGCGAUACUGCUGGUCGUGCUGCAGCUGGCCACUGGCGCGACGGCAUCCAUAUGCAAAGCGGGCCUGUGCACGUCCCAACAAUACUGCUGCGGCGACGACAAGUGUUGCGACAACGUUUACAGCCUCUGGUAUCUCUGCGGGGGAGUGUUCGUCCUGCUGUUUGUGAUCGGUUCGUUUUGUCCCGUGAUCAAACAGUGUUGCGGCUGUUUCCGGGCUCCCGUCAUCGUCAAGUACGUGCCCGUGCCGUCGUCUCCCGCGAAAUUUAAAUUCGGAGGAGACCGCGAGAACAAAUGCGCCAAAGUGGAUGUCGCGCUGCCCGCUCCGCCGCAGGCCACCACGUUGGACAUCACCAACUGCAUUUAAGUCAUCACCGGUGUGUCCACCUGCGACGACUUCUUCGGUUCGAACACUAGUGUUCAAUCGUUUCGUGUCGAUAAUCAUAAAAAAAUUGCAUGCCGUAUUUUUUCUCAUCUGUGCUGUUGAGUCAAAAUAUCCUUCCUCCGUAAUAUUAGGUACAAUAAUAUUUAAAACGUCCUGAUAUUCAAAAGAAGUUCACAAACCUAUGUUUGUUGUGAUGGUUAUCAAUGCGCCAAAGUAAAACCAGAGUUUAACAGAUUAUAAUUGGUAAUCUACGACCCUUCUAGAAGGGGCAGAGUGAGAGCCGGAGAGAUGCGAUAGACUUAUAAUCAAGACUUCCAAGUCCUAUACACAGAUUUGAGCAAAAUUUGUAGUCGAAAAAACUCUCAACAGAAAUUAUUCAAGUACUAUCUUUAUUUUAAUUAACCACAAGGACAGUUGUUCAAAUAAACUAGCAACACAAAUAUUCGAACAACCGUUUAAUCAAAUAAUAAUUUAAAUGAAAAUUACUCGAAUGCCUAUAGUAACGUGUCUGCUUUGAUAGCGACUUGGUCGUUUUUUGUACAUUUAUUAUAGUCAAUCUGAAAAAGGCGAGGGAGAUAGACUAGGGGCGCAUAUUACAACUAUACUAAUCAUUAUAUUACUAUUAUAGUAAAACCCUUAAUGGAUUUUAUAUAAGUAUUUUUCCUGACUGAAGUAGUAAAGUUUGGAGGUAUUGUUUUUUUUUGUUUUUUGUAAAAUAGUUUACACUUACGCUGAGUUUUUUUAAUUUGUAAAAAAAAUAAUACAAGUGCCAUAUUAACUAUAGUCUAUAAUAUAUUAUUUAUAUUUAUUGUGUUUUUUUUUUAAUUACACAAGUGUCAAAAACGUCAAACGUUGUUUCGUCAGUAUUUUCUAUAGAUAAUAAUUAAUAAUGUAUGGCAUAUGCAAUAAAACAUAAACACAUAAACAUGUUUUGUAAAAAAACUCUUAAGUUAGAAACCCCGUUAUAAUAUUAUAUACGAAUUAGAUGUAAAUCGUGUUAUGUAGACUAAUAUUUAACUCCCCACCCUCCACAAAAAAAUCGUCGUUUUAAGGGUUUUAUAGUUAUAAGCAAAAAAUCAGUAUUAAUUUAUAAGUAAUAAUAUUUAUUGUGUGUAAUAUGGUUGAAUUUAUUUGUGAAAGAUAUAUUUUUAAAACGUGUAAUAUUUGUACAAGACGUUUUUUAUAAAAAAUAUUAUACAUACAUAUUAAGU